GACGAACGCUGGCGGCGUGCUUAACACAUGCAAGUCGAACGGAAAGACCCUGCUUUUGUGGGGUGCUCGAGUGGCGAACGGGUGAGUAAAACGCGAGUAACCUGCCCUUGACUUUGGGAUAACUUCAGGAAACUGGGGCUAAUACCGGAUAGGAGCUCCUGCUGCAUGGUGGGGGUUGGAAAGUUUCGGCGGUUGGGGAUGGACUCGAGGCUUAUCAGCUUGUUGGUGGGGUAGUGGCUUACCAAGGCUUUGAAGGGUAGCCGGCCUGGGAGGUUGACCGGCCUCAUUGGGACUGCGAUACGGCCCAGACGCCUACGGGAGGCAGCAGUGGGGAAUAUUGCACAAUGGGCGGAAGCCUGAUGCAGCAGCGCCGCGUGCGGGAUGACGGCCUUCGGGUUGUAAACCGCUUUCGCCUGUGACGAAGCGUGAGUGACGGUAAUGGGUAAAGAAGCACCGGCUAACUACGUG
rnacentral:rRNA from 1 species